AUUCCAGCUCCAAUAGCGUAUAUUAAAGUUGUUGCGGUUAAAAAGCUCGUAGUUGGAUUUCUGCCGAGGACGACCGGUCCGCCCUCUGGGUGAGUAUCUGGUUCGGCCUGGGCAUCUUCUUGGAGAACGUAUCUGCACUUGACUGUGUGGUGCGGUAUCCAGGACUUUUACUUUGAGGAAAUUAGAGUGUUUCAAGCAGGCACACGCCUUGAAUACAUUAGCAUGGAAUAAUAAGAUAGGACCUUGGUUCUAUUUUGUUGGUCUCUAGAGCUGGGGUAAUGAUUAAUAGGGAUAGUUGGGGGUAUUCGUAUUCCAUUGUCAGAGGUGAAAUUCUUGGAUUUAUGGAAGACGAACUACUGCGAAAGCAUUUACCAAGGAUGUUUUCAUCG
rnacentral:rRNA from 1 species